rnacentral:rRNA from 1 species
CCCUUCAGCUCGGGAUAACGCCUUGAAAGGGGCGCUAAUACCGGAUGCGACGCGAGGAGCCUCGGCGCUUCGACGGGAAAGAUUCGCAAGGAUCACUGAAGGACGAGCCUGCGGCCCAUCAGCUAGUUGGUGAGGUAAGAGCUCACCAAGGCGAAGACGGGUAGCUGGUCUGAGAGGAUGAUCAGCCACACUGGAACUGAGACACGGUCCAGACUCCUACGGGAGGCAGCAGUGGGGAAUAUUGCGCAAUGGGCGAAAGCCUGACGCAGCCACGCCGCGUGAGCGAUGAAGGCCUUCGGGUCGUAAAGCUCUGUGGGGAGAGAAGAAUAAAGCCUGUGAAGAAUGGGCCUUGACGGUAUCUCCUUAGCAAGCACCGGCUAACUCCGUG